GACGAACGCUGGUGGCGUGCUUAACACAUGCAAGUCGAACGGGAUUUAGUAAACAGAAGCCUCGGUGGAAGAUUACUAAUGAGAGUGGCGAACGGGUGAGUAACGCGUGAGCAACCUGCCUAUGACAGUGGGAUAGCCUCGGGAAACCGGGAUUAAUACCGCAUAAAAUCGUAGAAACACAUGUUUUAACGGUCAAAGAUUUAUCGGUCAUAGAUGGGCUCGCGUCUGAUUAGCUAGUUGGUGAGAUAACAGCCCACCAAGGCGACGAUCAGUAGCCGGUCUGAGAGGAUGAACGGCCACAUUGGAACUGAGACACGGUCCAAACUCCUACGGGAAGCAGCAGUGGGGAAUAUUGCACAAUGGGGGAAACCCUGAUGCAGCGACGCCGCGUGAACGAAGAAGGUAUUCGUAUCGUAAAGUUCUGUCCUAUGGGAAGAUAAUGACAGUACCAUAGAAGAAAGCUCCGGCUAAAUACGUG
rnacentral:rRNA from 1 species